GCUACUACCGAUUGAAUGGUUUAGCGAGAUGCUCGGAUCGGGCCCAGCUCGUGCGAAAGCAUGUGCCGGGACUGAGAAGAAGUUCAAGUUUGAUCAUUUAGAGGAAGUAAAAGUCGUAACAAGGUUUCCGUAGGUGAACCUGCAGAAGGAUCAAAAUCGGAAAAGCGUCGUGUAGUGGAAGAGUGUAGAUCUCGGGGGGCGCCGGAUCCUUAAAAAAAAAAAAAAAUUAAAUUACAGAGCUUGACCUUUACUGGUAACACACACAUACUAGCAGGUC
rnacentral:misc_RNA from 1 species